GGUCCAUCUAGUCAAAGCUAUGGUUUUUCCAGUAGUCACAUAUGGAUAUGAGAGUUGGACUAUAAAGAUAGCUGAGCACAGAAGAAUUGAUGCUUUUGAACUGUGGUGUUGGAGAAGACUCUUGAGAGUCCCUUGGACUGCAAGGAGAUCCAGCCAGUCCAUCCUCAAGGAAAUCAGUCCUGAAUAUUCAUUGGAAGGACUGAUACUGAAGCUGAAUUCCAAUCCUUUGGCCACCUGAUGUGAUGAACUGACUCAUUUAAAAAGACCCUGAUCUGGGAAAGAUUGAGGGCAGGAGGAGAAGGAGAUGACAGAGUAUGAGACGAUUUGAUGGCAUCACCAACUCAAUGGACAUGAGUCUGAGUAAACUCUGGGAGUUGGUGAUGGACAGGGAGGCCUGGCAUGCGACAGAACAUGAGGUUGCAAAGAGUUGGACACUACGGAGGGACUGAACUGAACUGAACAGGGGCAGCAAGGGGGACCAUGUGCUUCUGGUGAAGGAAUGAGUAGAGGCCAGGGUGGCGAUAAACAUGAGCUCAGGACAGUUCCCAACAAAGAACAGUCUAAAAUACCCAUAGCAAUGCUGUUGAGAAAAGUUCUAGAGGAAGCUGAUCCUUGACAGAUGAGCAGCAGCCUGGAGCUCUAUUUGAGAAGGAAGGAAAGCUUCACCACCAUAAAUCAGAGGUUCCUCUGCAAACUCCACAUAGCGUGUCUCAGGCCUGCGGAAGGUGGAGUUCGUUUGCUGGGACAGUCAAGUCCUUUGGGUUGGGUUAUUGAAUCAUUGGGAGGGAUGAAUUUGUGAACAUGCAUCCCUCCCAAGGCUGCCACUCUUGACAAAUGCUGCACUCAGCACUCAGGUCCCCACUGUGAAUAGACACUGUCUGUGCCACUCCUGGAGGGGCCUGUGCAGCCUGGAGCUGUUCCAAUAUUCCACAUCAUCAGCCUUCUAACUUCCCCGGGGUCAGCCAUUCCUUUUUGGACAGUACCCUUUCCCAGAAUUCAAACAUACAAAACCUUUCUCUUCUUCAAUAUAUUACAUGUUCUUCCCCCCUCCCCACCCCACCCACUCCUUUUAAUUAGACCCUGGAUGGAGUUCCAAAACAUUUAAAAUCAAG
ensembl:lncRNA